AUUAAAAAGAAAGCGCCUGAACUUAAGUAGGACGGAAAAUACUUGAGUUGACGAGGGACAGGGUUUAUCGAAGUUCGGCGGAUGCCCUGCGGUGUAGUCACCACCGAUAACGAGUCUACAAAGCUAUCAAGCAAUUGAUAGUACAAAGAGACUCAGGUGAAAGGU
rnacentral:ncRNA from 2 species